rnacentral:rRNA from 1 species
AUGCGGGGUUUGGAGGAAGAGGAGAGAUGUGGGAUCUGGAGGAGGACGUUGCCGGCUCCUCUCCUCUCCCCGCGCCUCGUCCGCCUCCUCUCCUCCCUCUCUCUCGUCUCCUCACCCGCACCGCCAGCCCCUUCUCUCUGCUUGCCCCAGCCGUCUCUCUCCUCCCGCGCGCCGUCAGCCCCGGAUCUAGAGGAAGAGGAGAGAUGCGGGAUUUGGAGGAAGAGGAGAGAUGUGGGAUCUGGAGGAGGAAGAGGAGAUCCGGGCGUCCCAGCGGUGGCUCGACCGAUGCAAGUUCUCGACGACGACGCGCUACUCAUCCCUGCCGGCUCCGAUCUCGUUAUCAAGCGCGUGCCCAUCAAGUUCGUGGACGGCCGCGGGGACGCAUCGGCUCCUUGUCAGGACAAAGCUGAGGAGCAGCAUGGCUGUGGGCGCAGUGACCGAGGCGAUGGCAUUGCGUCAUUUCUGCCUCCAUUUCAUAAUUUUGAUGAUCCAGAUAAGGCUGUUUGUCCUGGUUUGGAGGCAGAUGGUAAAAUUCAGACCUGUUUUUAUCACUGGUGGUUGCGAAUCUCAGGCUUUGCAUGUCCGUCUAUGACAUCCUUGCCGUCGAAGGCAGAUUCAUCUUUCCAGGAUAGGGCUGCUCGACGUAUAAAGCUCUACAGGAUUCGAUGA